UACACAUUUUCAAUUUCAGGCCUAAAAAAGUCUAAAAUAUAGAGAUAUUUCGCAGUGUAAGUCUAAAAUUGGGUUUGAGUAAUUUAAGACCUACGUUUCAAUGCAAAAUAUCGACAAAGGAUUAUUUUUUUUGUUUGUUUUGUUUUUACGUCCUUUUCCACGCCGUUCUGUUUUUUUCUUUUUCUGUUAUGGUGGCAGUUAUGGUCCGUGUAGUUCUACAUGACAUGUGCUGUUAGUGGAACGUACAAUAAUAAAACUACAGAUGUGAAACGGAAAUGUACUGUCGUCACAGGAUGCAGCAGCAAGUAUUUUGAUUCUCUGUGUGCGAGCAAGGCGGGAAUAGUUACGAAGUAGGAUAACGUCCGAAUGGCAGGAGAAAGUUAAAAAAAAGGAUGGGUAAAUGUAAAUUCAACGACAAUUGGCUCUCAAUAGGGCAAUUUGCAGACUGGCUGAAACGCGUUCCCGCUGAUGACAGUGAGGCAUACUGCACGUUUUGCAAAAGAACUCUUAAACUCGGGACCCUGGGCAUCAAGGCACUGGAGUCUCACACAAAAUCCAGCAAACACCAGGAGUCGGCAAAUGCAGCACGCAAUUCCCAUGGAAUUGCCCAGUUCUGUUCAGUAGCAAGCAGCACGUCAUCAAUAAAUAAUACGGGUAAUAUUCGUGAUCUAUUGGGCUCCACUGAUACAAUGAAGGCAGAAGUUCUGUGGGCGCUUAACACAGUGGCUAAACACCAGUCAUGCAGAUCCAAUGACGGCAUCGGAGAGCUUUUCCAAGCGAUGUUCCCCGACUCCACAGUUGCCAAAACAUUCCAAUGCGGGAGAGACAAGACGUCGUACAUACUCCGAUUUGGAGUGGCAGAGUUCGUCAAAAAAGAGCUUAUCUCAAAGGUGACCGGGCCCUUCGUCAUUAUGUUUGACGAAAGUCUUAACCACGCAACAAAGAGGAAGCAACUGGACCUUCAGGUAAGGUACUGGGAUGACGGCCAGGUACAGUCCCGGUACCUGGGCUCACAAUUUAUGGGCCAUGCCACAGCAAACGACUUGCUGAAGGAGAUCAAAGAAUGUGCGGGCCACCUGGACCUCAGCAAGCUGAUUUCGAUCUCAAUGGAUGGUCCAAAUGUGGACAAGAUCCUCAGGGCCUUGCACACAUUGUUGCAUAAUGUUCCCGCAAGACGAGAGGACUACGAGAAGACCACCAGGUCUACCCGCUUCCCGUUGGCAUGGUGUGGGCACCGAUGGCUGGUAAACCUGCCUGUCGUGAUACGAGCGUUGGAUAUCUGGUGAUCUAUGCUGGUGUACACCAAUGCUGUGAGGAGAAUGGAGCUUCCAAAUCCUGGCACUGGAAGCUUUGCUGUAAUCGAAGAAGCCCAGAAAGAUCCCCUGACUCUACCUAAGCUGCAGUUUUUCAGGAGCAUCGCCCAGCUAUUUGAUCCGUUUUUAAGGAAGUACCAGACUGAGGAGCCGGUGAUGCCUUACCUAGGCAAAGAUCUGGCAGAGUUGAUCAAGAGUCUGAUGCGUCGUUUCGUGAAACGAGAGGUUCUGCAGGACAUCACCACAGCCCAGCUUACCAAACUGGACAUAGGUGACAAGAAUAUCUUGAUGCCGGUGCACUGUGUUGAUAUUGGCUUGGGUGCUGAGGAGGCCCUCAAGGGGACACCAUUCUCCAACAGUUCGAUGCUGCGUUGUCUGUGAAGUGCAGGCAUGAAGAUUUCAUCUCCUUCAAGCCAAUGCAAAAGAGGCUAGAUGGCUUCCUUCAUGGCUUCAUCGGCAAGGCAUACCCAGAUCUUUGGGCCUUUUGCAAGACCCUUUUACUGCUUUCUCAUGGUCAGGCGUCUGUAGAGAGAGGCUUCUCAGUGAACAAAGAGAUCGAGACGGAGAAUAUGCAAGAAGAAACAUUGGUCGCACACAGGCUUGUUUACGACUACGUUGCAAUACAUGGGGGCGUUACCAAGGUUCCACUUACACCUGACCUAAUGAAAUCUGUCAUGGCUGCCAGGUCACGGUACCGUGUGCAUUUGGACGAACAGAGGAAGAAGAAGGAGACAGAGACACAAGGGAAGAAAAGGGCACACGCGGAGGAGCAGUUACAAGACCUGAAAGUCAAGAGGGACAGUCUACAUAAAGUUACUGAGAGCCUGGGCAAAGAGGCAGAUGAGUUGGCAGAGCAAGCAGAGGGCAAGGCUGGGAGCAAAAUGGCACAUCUGAUUUCAAAAUCAAAUGCUCUGAGGAGGGCUGCCAAAGACAAGCUCUCCCAGCUUAAGGUUCUGGGGGAUGAAAUUGCCACCAAAAGUGCAGAGCUUAAAAGCAUGUAAAUAAUGUAAAUAAUAUGUUUGUUUCAUUGACAAUAAAUGUAAAUUGACGGCAA